GACGAACGCUGGCGGCGUGCUUAACGCAUGCAAGUCGAACGGUGAAGCGAGUGCUUGCACUCGUGGAUCAGUGGCGAACGGGUGAGUAACACGUGAGUAACCUGCCCAUCACUCUGGGAUAAGCACUGGAAACGGUGUCUAAUACUGGAUACGACCAACCCUUGCAUGGGGUGUUGGUGGAAAGAUUUAUCGGUGAUGGAUGGACUCGCGGCCUAUCAGCUUGUUGGCGGGGUAAUGGCCCACCAAGGCGACGACGGGUAGCCGGCCUGAGAGGGUGACCGGCCACACUGGGACUGAGACACGGCCCAGACUCCUACGGGAGGCAGCAGUGGGGAAUAUUGCACAAUGGGCGAAAGCCUGAUGCAGCGACGCCGCGUGAGGGAUGACGGCCUUCGGGUUGUAAACCUCUUUCAGCAGGGAAGAAGCGAAAGUGACGGUACCUGCAGAAGAAGCACCGGCUAACUACGUG
rnacentral:rRNA from 1 species